rnacentral:lncRNA from 1 species
GGCGACGCCCAGGGAGCUGGACGAAGAGUCGGCGGUUUACCUGGUGGUGAGUGGGAUCCCGGCUGUGUUACGCUCGGCUCAGCUACGGAGCUACUUUAGCCAAUUCCGAGAACAGCGCGGCGGAGGUUUUCUGUGUUUCCACUACCGGCAUCGGCCCGAGAGGGGCCCUCCGCAGGCGAGUCCGGACGCGGCCGGAGCUGCCCCGGACCCUGCUGCUGAGGAUGCCGCCCAGCCUACAGCCUCCGAUGCCCGCGCUGUCCCCGCCCGGGGCUCUGCUGCGGUCCAGACCCGAACCUGCUGCUGCAUCGUCUCGGUGAGGGGAGUGGCGCAAGCUCAGCGACUGCUUCGCAUGUACUCGGGUCGCCGGUGGCUGGACUCUCAGGGGACCUGGCUUCCUGGCCGUUGUCUCAUACGCAGGCUUAGGCUACCCACUGAGGCUUCAGAUCUAGGGUCCUUUCCCUUUAAGACCCGGAAGGAGCUACAGAGUCGAAGGGCAGAGAAUGAAGCUUUUACCUUGGCUGACCUGAGGCAGCUCCCAGAGCUAAAUCCACCAGUGCUGAUGCCCAAUGGCAAUGUGGGCACACCCCUGCGGGUCUUUUUAGAGUUGAUCCGGUCCUGCCGUCUACCACCUCGAAUCAUUACCCAGCUACAGCUC